rnacentral:rRNA from 1 species
CCUUGCACACACCGCCCGUCACACCACGAAAGUCGGUUCUACCCGAAGUGGCUGCGCUAACCCGCAAGGGGAGGCAGGCUCCUAAGGUAGGGCUGGUAAUUGGGGUG